AUUGAACGCUGGCGGCAUGCCUUACACAUGCAAGUCGAACGGCAGCGCGGGGCAACCUGGCGGCGAGUGGCGAACGGGUGAGUAAUAUAUCGGAACGUACCCUGGAGUGGGGGAUAACGUAGCGAAAGUUACGCUAAUACCGCAUACGAUCCAAGGAUGAAAGCAGGGGACCGCAAGGCCUUGUGCUCCAGGAGCGGCCGAUAUCUGAUUAGCUAGUCGGUGGGGUAAAGGCCUACCAAGGCAUCGAUCAGUAGCUGGUCUGAGAGGACGACCAGCCACACUGGAACUGAGACACGGUCCAGACUCCUACGGGAGGCAGCAGUGGGAAUUUUGGACAAUGGGCGCAAGCCUGAUCCAGCAAUGCCGCGUGAGUGAAGAAGGCCUCGGUUGUAAGAC
rnacentral:rRNA from 1 species